CAAGGUCGCGAGGAAGCAGGAAUGCGACUGCGCGGCUCCGCUUGCGCACACUCGGGGAAGGAGAGCUGACCUGUUUUCUCCGUCCUGGCCCGCCUCCAUAUUGCCAGUGUGCAGAGGCGGGAGGGAAAGGAAGAGGGAAGUGGAAAGGGAGCAAAGAAGCUAGUGAGGGUCUUGCUAUAUUGCCCAGGCUGGGCUCAAACUUGUGAUCCUCCAUCCCUGGUCUCCCAGAGUGCUGGGACUACAUAUGUGCACCACCAAUGCCAGCAAAGUGACAAGUUUUCACGAUUUCAGUGGCAGGACAAGAAAGUGGCACAAGCAACAAAUCCAAGACAACGUAAAAAAAGGUCCAGUAGUCUAAAACCUGAAAACCCUAAAAAACAAAGUAUUUGGUUUCCGUCACUUCCCUGACAUUCCAGGGGUGGAGUAAGGGGAGGAGCUGGCGAGGGCCUCCCAGUGGAGCACUCAAAAGGGAAGCAGUGGGGUCUGAAGCAGCAACUCCCAUAGAGCACUAGCUGUGGAACUGCAUAGCCCUUCUGCUAUACAUAAAGAACACAUGGUUGCAGCAUUUCCUGUCCUGAGUACUGCAAGCUGCUUUCCAAAGACUGUUCUCAGCUUCAGAUGAUCCCGGGCCUCAACAUUCUAAAGAAUGAAAGAAAGUACCACCCCUAGAAGAGAAAGAAAAUAUUUCCUCUGAAAUUGUGGACGUCUCAUGGCAUCCUUCCAUCACUAACAGUACACCUGCCUCACAGGGCCAGCCAUGGGUAGGCAGUCAGCGUCCAUUCCGGAGGCCGCUGUGGAGUCUUCACAACUUUGGCAACUUCAGGGCUGAGCUGUCCGGCAGUGGUAAUCUUAUUGUGGGAGCCUAUGAGUGACCACUGACCUGAUGGAGGGUUAGUCUCGGCAGGAGGAUGGCUAUUAAUGGGUUGUUUUUAGGUGAAAGCUGAAGAAACCACAAAUAAAAUCCUCACCUUAAAACUUAACUUUAAAAAGAAAAUCUUUUUUCAUCUUUUUGGAUUGCAGCAAAUAUUAGACUUUCUGAUUUAAAUUUCACUUGGGACUUAUGCAUACUGUAUUUUAUUUGAUGGAGGUAGUAUUAAAAAUAUAUUCAAUUUAGCAUUAAAGAAGUGGCAUAACAGUUUGUCUGAAGUAGGAUGGUAGCCCGUGAUUUCAUUAAUCUUCUGAGUAAGAAAUGUUUAAAAUGGUUCAACCUAUCCCACAAGCCAGGUGUAGUGGUGCACCCAUGUAAUCCCAGCACUCUGAGAGUCUGAGGCAGGAUAGCAAGCUCAAACUCAGUCUGGACAAUUUAGUGAGACCCUGUCUCAAAAAAUAAAUUAAAUUUUAAAUUUAAAAAA
ensembl:lncRNA